AUGGAAGCAGUAAACAUGUCCGCCGCCGCUGAUUGGUCUGGCCUGCCGCAAGACCUCCUGCUCGCCAUCAUGGCGGCGCUGGAUGUCCCCAGCCUCGUCCGUUCCGGCGCCGUCUGCACAUCCUGGCGGGACGCCUACAACACCUUCCGCCUCCCCGCGCUGAAGCAAGCGCCGUGCCUGCUCUACGCCUGCGACGAGUACGGGCCCAACGAUGCCGCCCUGUACUGCCCCUCCACCAACGCCACCUUCCGCGUCCCCUACCCGGGUCCCCCGCACGAGAAGCGGAGCUUCGUAUUCUCAUGUCACGGCUGGGUGUUCGUCACCGACGAGGUCGGCGAUCCGCACCUCCUCAACCCCAUCACCGGCGUCCAAAUGCGCGCUCCCGCCAGUCAAGACGAUCAUGGUCUGCGGUGA
rnacentral:rRNA from 1 species